ACAUGAGAAGGGAGAUUCCAAAAAGGCCCUCCGCGCUCGACGGCUUGGGUUAUCCAAUCAAGCAGAUUGGCCUCCUUUGACGAUACCCUGGGAACAAUACAAACGCGACGGGAUCAUCAUGCGUUCCAUUGCAGGACGAGCUUUAUCGAGAAGACAGGCGAGAUUAGCGGCUAAUGACAGAGACCCCCACCUCAGAACAUCAUGUGCAACAUUUCGCCCCCGCUGCUCCACUGCUUCAGCCCGGCGUGACCUGUUGGCGGUUGGAGCGCGCUGCCCGACUGGCCCCCAUUAUUGAUGCUGCUCCCUACUUCAGGCUGGUUCGAGACGCCCUGCUUCGGGCGCGCCAUUCCGUCCUUUUUAUCGGCUGGGAGUUCGAUACCCGCAUCAAGCUGGACCCUGACGCGCCCCUUCCUGGCUUUCCGGACCAAUUGGGUCCGUUCCUAAACGCUCUCAUCGAGCGUCGCCCCAAACUAUGCGUGCGCGUGCUACAAUGGAACCUGGGUCUGAUCGGAACCCUUGUUCGCGGCGCGACACCCCUCUACCUGCUGAAUUGGGUGACCAGUAAGCGCUUCCAGUUCCGGUUAGAUAGUGCCCAUCCAG
rnacentral:misc_RNA from 1 species